rnacentral:rRNA from 1 species
UACGUAGGUGGCGAGCGUUGUCCGGAUUUACUGGGCGUAAAGAGCGCGCAGGCGGUCGUACAAGUCGCGUGUGAAAGCCCCCGGCUCAACUGGGGAGGGUCACGCGAUACUGUUCGACUCGAAGGCAGGAGAGGGAAGUGGAAUUCCCGGUGUAGUGGUGAAAUGCGUAGAUAUCGUGAGGAAGACCAGUGGCGAAGGCGGAUCUCUGGACAGUUCCUGACGCUGAGGCGCGAAGGCCAGGGGAGCAAACGGG